CAUCAGUAAGGCAUUUAUUCUGGUAAUGGAAUAUAUCCAGUGUGAGCUGAUCAAUGGCGCACCAGCCGGUGAUACAUCCGAAUGUCAUUGACCUGAAAAGAAAAUGACGAGUGUCAAAGAUUGUACAAUGAUGCUAACUGCUAAGACUGAAAAUGCAAAAGAUAGUUACUUCAAUCCAGAAAUUCCUUUAACAGUAUAUACAACUGAAAAUGCAAUUACUAAAAGGCAUUCUUUAAUUCAGGUACGCAACUUCACUCUUCACAAAUAAAACUCAUCAAUCCGUUUAAAAAAUGAACAUGGUAAUACUUCAAAGAAAUAAGGUUUUCUGUGAUUCUCAACUGGUUUGAUAUAUACUCUAGCUGUAGUACAAAAAGGAAAAAUACAAAAGUUAAAGCAUUUAAAAGAGAAACCUCUAUGCAACAGCAUCCAAGAACCAAGAGUCACUUGACAGAUAAAAAAAUAUGCAAACUAGGCAAGGCAAGAAGAAAUCUGAUAGAACAGGUAAUUUCUACAUUUUUUAUGAAACAAUUUCUACAUUACUAGGAGACUUAAUCGGAGCGUUGCAAUUGGACUAACUAAUAUGUAUACGGGUCUACGAAAGCACAAGUGCACAUCUAGACUGUAUCACUUGCAACAUCACAGAACAUCUAGUUUUGGUCAAUUACUUGAGACACAGAAAAAUAGAGUUCCAAUCCAAAUACUUGGUCCAGCUCAAUUGACACUUGCAAGGUCUACA
rnacentral:lncRNA from 1 species